ACGAACGCUGGCGGCGUGCUUAACACAUGCAAGUCGAACGAGAAAGCCCUUCGGGGUGAGUAGAGUGGCGCACGGGUGAGUAAUAGAUAGGAACGUACCGACGAGAGGGGGAUAACCAAGGGAAACUUUGGCUAAUACCGCAUGAUAUCGAAAGAUUAAAGGGGGCGACUCUUCGGAGGCUCCUGCUUGUUGAGCGGCCUAUCUCCCAUUAGCUAGUUGGCAGGGUAAAAGCCUACCAAGGCAACGAUGGGUAGCUGGUCUGAGAGGAUGAUCAGCCACACUGGAACUGAGAUACGGUCCAGACUCCUACGGGAGGCAGCAGUGGGGAAUCUUGCACAAUGGGCGAAAGCCUGAUGCAGCAACGCCGCGUGAGUGAAGAAGGUCCUUGGAUUGUAAAGCUCUUUCGGCUAAGAAGAAGUGUUUUUUGGUUAAUAACCAGAGAAUGUGACGGUAUUAGAAGAAGAAGCACUGGCUAAUUCCGU
rnacentral:rRNA from 1 species